CUUACAACCGUCUAUAACUCCAGUUCCAGACAAUUUGAAGUCCUCUUCUGGUCUCCCUGCAGCACAAUUCACAUGUGGCUCACACAGACACACAUGCAGGCAAACACACACAGGAAACAAGGACAACUUUUUUAGGCACCCAUUCUUUUAGAAGAUGUGGGUCCUAGGGAUCGAACUCAGGUCCUUAGGAUUAAGGGCAAGUGCUUUAACCCACUGAGCCAUCUUGCUGGUCCACAUUUUGUUGUAACUUACAUUUACUUAAGUAUCUGUGUGCUGCAGCGCACAGCUGUAAAGAUCAGAGAACUUACAAAGAGUUUGAUUUCUUCUUUCACUAUGUGGGUCCUGAAGAUGAAAUCCAAGUAGGUCAUCCAGAUUUGGCAGUAAACACUUGUACCUGCUGACCCAUCUCACUGUACCUGUUCUGUUUAUUUCGUCUGUGUGAGGGUUUUGCCCGCAUGUAUUUGUUCAUAAGUUAUUAUCUUACUUUGCGUUUUCUCUGUUUUUAGUUUUGUUUUUUUCUUUUCUUCUUUUCUCGGUUUUCAGUAAACUGCCAUAUUAUCCUCUACCUUUAUCCCCUUUUUCCUUUCUGGUUUGAAGAUUAAAUUCCUCUUCUUAUAAUAAGUAUCUUAAAUUGUUAGCAUACCUGCAUUUUCCUAUUGAAACCUGGGUUUGAAAAUGACAGAAGCCUGGUAUAACUUAAUAAUUAAAUUCCCUGUCUUUUUUCACUCCUCAUCUCUCUGGUUGAUGUACUUAACAAUUCUGGCGCUCUCUCUCUGUCUCUGUCUCUUUGGAAUUAUAAAUUUAAUUUGAAUAGGAAAGGCAGCUCAAGGGCUGGUGAGAUGGCUCAGUGAUUAAGAGUGCCAACUGCUCUUCCGAAGGUCCCGAGUUCAAAUCCCAGCAACCACAUGGUGGUUCACAACCAUCCGUAACGAAAUCUGAUGCCCUCUUCUGGGGUAUCUGAGGAUAGCUACAGUGUACUUACAUAUAAAUAAAUAAAUCUUAAAAAAAAAAAAAAGGAAGACAGCUCAAUCAGUUAGUUCUUUCCCAAAAAGGAUAAGGCCCUGAGCUUGAGUUCCUGAAACCACAUAUUAAAAAACCCUGGCGCAGUAGCAAACACUUGAAAUCCCAGUGCUGGGGAAGACAGAUCCAGAGCCUCUUAGCGUAUAAGAGACCUUGUCUCAAAAACACAGAAGAUGUUUCCCGAAGAACAUUCCGUGAGGCUCUCCUCUGGCCUCCACACAAAUUCAUUCCCACUCUACCCCAUCCUCACCCACACCCCCGCUGUGUAUUUACCAUCUGUGGCACACACUACUGAUCACCCAUUAACCCCCAUUAACUGUGCCUCCCUUCCUUCCCUGCCAACAGAGUCCUGACCUGUUUAGGAAGCUGAGACCUAGACCCAAGAAAUGAAGCAAGACCGACCAAAGCCAACCAUAGCCAGUCUCUCUUUUUUCCCCUUAAACAAGGCACUGGUAUAAAAUGUAGGCCAAUAUAACUUAAAGAAUGAAGGAGCUAUCUCUUAGGGCUAUCUGGGAACUGAACUCUGGCCCUCUGUGAGAAAAGUCCACUCUGAAUGGUAAGGUUCCCCACAAGCAUCUCUUUCAAGCAUGCUGAUGACAGCAGGAUUGCCUUCUUGCCUUUAUUUAUCUAGGGUGGGGGCGGGGUCUUCCCAUGUAUCCUGGCAGGCUUUGGACUCAGUAUCUUCCUGUUCAGUCUCCAAGAGCUAACAUUAACAUUCACACCGCGAUCUGCUGCUCUUCUUGGGAACAUUAAAAAGUAAGACUGGGGCUCGGUAGAUGACCAAAGGACUUGAGAAGACCCAAACAGGCCUUUCUGCAAGAGCAUCCAUAUGGCUGCCACUUCCAGGGAUGUGACAUUCUCUUCCGACUAUGUACCCGGGAGCGCGCACACACAUGCACACACCCCGCCCAGGCACACCUACAAUUUUUAAAGUAAAUGUGGCCAUACUGAAUGAAUCUCCUCUUCCUGCUUUUAACUGGCUAAAAAGGGUGCCAUACUGAGCCUGGCUCAUUAGGGCUGCCAGGUACUGGUGCUAGUGCCGACAACACCCAGCUCCGGAGACACCGCCUUUGCUCAGGUAACUUCCCUUUGUUACUGCUGACCACACUUGACUUCCAAGUAACUAUAAACACAGUCUCUCGCCUCUCCGGACCUCUCUCUUUCCUUCUGCUUUUUACUGAGUCUCUCCUUGCGUUCUGAAGGGUCUGGCCUCUGCUUCUUCUUUCUGUGCACCCUGUCUUUUCCAGGCCAAGAGCCUGCAUUCCUGUGGCAUGCCUACACAACACUUCAGUCUUUAGCCAUCACCUCUUGCAUGAGGCCAAGGUCACACUCGUGAUCAUAAACAGCAUCCAGAGAUCUCAAAACCAGGCUUGUGUCCAAUCAUACCUCACCCUCUUGGGAUAUGAACUCAUUUGAAUCACAAGUGAUAUCUAGCCCACAUUUAUUGAGUCUAAACUAGAACUACAAGAGAGAGAGAGAGAGAGAGAAAGCUAGUUACACCUCUCUCACUUAAAAUAUAAAAUCUAUGGCCUGAACUAUAGUCAGUCUCAGGCCAGUCUGAGCUACAGUGAGACUCCAUCUCAAAAUUAAAUAUAUUAACUUAAAGGCAUAGUAACUGUAUUACUUAAUCCACCAUCUCUUCCUACUGUGUGACCCAGUAUAGUCGUAGACAGAUCAGGCAUUAAGGCGGCUAGAGAGAGAGGUAACUGUUAAGAGCACUGGUUGCUCUUCUAGAGUACUUAGGUUCGGUUCACAACCCUCCGUAACUCCAGUUCCAGGGAUCUAGUGGUCCCAGCACAGCACACAUGUGAUACAGACACACAGGCAAAAUACCCAUACAGAUUAAAAAAAAAUAUUAGAAUAGGCAUCAAUAAAUGUUUACCCAACUAUCUAUCAUCUCUGUAUAAAAAACCUUACACUACAAGAAUCAGAAAAACACUGACUACAAAAAGUUUUGAAACCUUAUUUGGAGGUAGGGCUUUGUCACCAAGGACGCUCCUGAAUUGCUCAGCCUCCUGCUUCUCCUUCCCAAGUGCUGGGACUACAAGGAGGGCUAAGACACUUGUGGAUUUAUAUAUGCCAAACGAGUCCUCUAUCAACCUAAGGACACCCCAAUUACACCCCAUUUUUAGUUGCUGAAACAAAGUCUCAUGGUGGCCUAGAACUUACUAUGUAGUUGAGGUUAACCCUGAAAUCCUAGGAUCACAGGCAUGUGCUGGCAGGUCCAUCUGAAAUAUUCUUGUAAGUAGGAAGAUACGAAUGGAUAAUUACACUCUGCCUCGCACUCGUGUGUCCCCAGAAUACAGAAGGAAGAGUUUUCUCUAAUUGUUUUUAAUCACUUGGUAGUAGGGAGAUACACAUGCUAACCAUAGCAUCUAGCUAUCGGCAGCAGCUUUUCCCCCAACAAUUAAGACUAAGUUGCCCAGGAAUGCUUCAAACUCAGGUCCUUCUGCCUAAGUCUCUUGAGGAGCUGGCAUUAAAAAGAGAUGGCUCCUCUAUCCACUUAAGCUCAAAGCCUUCCAACCUAGCAACAUCUGAAUCCACAUUCUGACAUUGCCACUGGUCCCCCACGUAACCAUUUGACCUCUCUGAUCUCGACCCUUGUCUAUAAGGUGAGACUGUCAUCCUUUCAAAGGAUGUCCUGAAACUAUCAGAAGCCCAAGGCUCCCAGUACACCAACUGCCAUCCUGGGUGGAGCAAACUGAGGACCACAGUUCAUCUAGCUUCAACUCAACGUGGAGAAUUCCUAGCCUGUAUCCCCACAGCCCUGGAGAGCAUCCUGAGGCAUAAGCCCUGCACAUAACCCACUAGUUGACCCCACGCCAGGUCAAUCAGCUCUCCAACCCUGAGAACAAUCUCCCCCGGGGGAAGCAGUCUUGCUUCCCAGCCCCCAGCUCUGACCAAUCACAGGCACUGUUACCCCUUGGUGAUAGGUACGGGCUUCCAGGAACACAGAGAUCUCAGAGGCAGAUAUGCCUUGGUGGACCCUUACUCCUACAUAGAACAGAAGCCAUAUGCUCACUGUGGGGCAGAUUGUCAGCUCUUAGCCCAGCUGCCACAGAGAUCCUACAUAGCUCCCCCGAGACCCAUCUCACGCCUGUAGCUCUCUAGUCAUUAAGUCAACAGUAGGAUUCUAGGAAAGCCAGGAGGGUUUCCCGUGAGGUCAUGAGGAGACAUGAGGAGAACCAGAGGAUGCAUAGAAACUUUAAAGGGAGGAGAGAGGGAGAAAUCACAUAAGACAGGACACAAUCAGAGUAUGGCGGUAGACUGAAGGAGAGAAAUCCAAGGCUCUCGGGAGGGUUUUUAGAAGAAGUAGAAAUUAAGCUGAAGAAAUGCUAGCGGAAGAAAAGCCAGACAGAAGCUUGCGUGGCCCAGACUUGAGGUUUUCAUCUGCAACCUGAGCUUUCUCUUCAUUUCUUUUCUUUUCUUCUUUUUUUUUUUUU